UGGUAAAACUUAGAUAUUCUCCGAGACAAAAGCACAAACAGAUACAAGGUGAGCUCUGAGCUGGAAAAAAAAAAUUAAAAAAAUGGCAACUUACAAUUACAAAGCGCUUGACUGCAUCACCAGCUGCGACAUUGAAGCUCUGGGGAUACCUUCAAAGCUUGCAGAGCAGCUUCAUGAAAAGCUCGCCGAGAUCGUUAACACUCACGGGGCUGCCACUCCCGCCACGUGGCAGAACAUCACUACCCACAUCCUCAGCCCUGACCUUCCCUUCUCCUUUCAUCAGCUGUUGUACUACGGUUGCUAUAAAGACUUUGGACCCGACCCGCCAGCUUGGAUACCCGACCCGUCAUCCGCCUUGGCCGUACAGCAGAUGAAUAUAAAUAUAAAAAUAUUAGUUUUUAAAUUUUUUAAAUUAAAAAAUAAAUAAUUUAUUAUUUAUUUUUAGUGAUUUAGACAAUAAACAUAUCAUUCAAUUAUAUUCCUAAUUCAGAAUAAUUCAUGUGUAUUCUGAUUUCAAACAAACAAAUAAACGCCACGUAAGUGUGAUUAUAAAAGAUAGAUUAACAGCGUUCAUCCUAUGUGAAGGUGAUGGAGGAUGGUAAAACUUAGAUAUUCUCCGAGACAAAAGCACAAACAGAUACAAGGUGAGCUCUGAGCUGGAAAAAAAAAAUUAAAAAAAUGGCAACUUACAAUUACAAAGCGCUUGACUGCAUCACCAGCUGCGACAUUGAAGCUCUGGGGAUACCUUCAAAGCUUGCAGAGCAGCUUCAUGAAAAGCUCGCCGAGAUCGUUAACACUCACGGGGCUGCCACUCCCGCCACGUGGCAGAACAUCACUACCCACAUCCUCAGCCCUGACCUUCCCUUCUCCUUUCAUCAGCUGUUGUACUACGGUUGCUAUAAAGACUUUGGACCCGACCCGCCAGCUUGGAUACCCGACCCGUAAAUAUUAUUUAAUUCCAUUCAGUUUAUUUCAACUUUUUCUUCAUUAUUGUGAGUUUUGUCAUAUAUUGAACUUUUGCAUGUAUUGAAUGAUAGCUUGUCAAGUAAUUUUUUGAUAAUGCUUUGGGAAAAUAAUUAUGACUUUUGAUGGCUUCCGGUGAAAUUUGGAGUUGAUUCAAUCAGAAUUUAUUGUUUGGUAAUAGUGAUAGUAGAACUUAGUUCAAGAUUUUCAGCUGAUUCUAAGUUUAUUUCAGUGUAACUGUGAUUCCCAAAGCCCAAUUGUGUGGAUUCUAUUGUUUUAGGAUUGUCGCAGAGGAGCUAUUGAAGCAAGUGGAUUAAAUAUUAACUAAGUACGAGAAACAAGGAGCAAUUUGAUUAUUAAAACCUAAGAAAACAUGCUGAAAUGCCCAAUUAAUUGAGUGGUAAACUUUUUACAUGCUAAAAAAAUGAAGAGUUUUUCAACGGCUGAAGAGGACAAAAUGAAAUUUGGAGUAUUUUUAUGCAAAUUCGUGUUUCUUUGCUUCUUUUCUUAAUUUAUACUGUUUAUAUGAAUAUUAAAUUGCUCUCUUUAUCUUUUUGUUGUUUCAAAUUAAUGCCUUGUUGUAUGGGUAGGGAG
rnacentral:lncRNA from 1 species